UUCCGGUUGAUCCUGCCGGAGGCUACCGCUAUUGGAGUUCGAUUAAGCCAUGCGAGUCGCGAGUCUUAGGGACUCGGCGUACCGCUCAGUAACACGUGGGUAACCUGCCCUAUGCUGGGGGAUAACCUCGGGAAACUGAGAAUAAUACCCCAUAGUUCACCACGCCUGGAACGGUGGGUGGACCAAAGCUCCGGCGGCAUAGGAUGGGCCUGCGGCGUAUCAGGUUGUAGGGGGUGUAAUGUACCCUCUAGCCCUCUACGCGUACGGGUGUUGGGAGACAUCGCCCGGAGAUGGAUUCUGAGACACGAAUCCAGACCCUACGGGGUGCAGCAGGCGCGAAAACUUGGCAAUGCGAGCAAUCGUGACCAGGGAACUCCAAGUGCAUCGGGUAAGACCGAUGCUUUUCUUGACUCUUCAAAGGUCUUGGAAUAAGGGGUGGGUAAGGACGGUGCCAGCCGCCGCGGUAAUACCGGCGCCUCAAGUGGUAGUCGCUUUUAUUGGGCCUAAAACGUCCGUAGCCGGUUUGGUACAUUCGUGGGUAAAUCAAGGCGCUCAACGUCUUGAAUUCUGCGAGCACGGCCAGACUUGGGACCGGGUGAGGUGUGGGGUACUCUCAGGGUAGGGGUAAAAUCCUGUCAUCCUGAGAGGACCACCUGUUGCGAAGGCGCCACACUAGAACGGAUCCGACGGUCAGGGACGAAGCCUAGGGGCACGAACCGGAUUAGAUACCCGGGUAGUCCUAGGUGUAAACGCUGUGGACUUGAUGUUGGGAGUGCUCCGAGCACCCUCAGUGUCGAAGCGAAGGUGAUAAGUCCACUGCCUGGGGAGUACGGUCGCAAGGCUGAAACUUAAAGGAAUUGGCGGGGGAGCACUGCAACCUGAGGAUUGUGCGGUUUAAUUGGAUUCAACGCCG
rnacentral:rRNA from 1 species